rnacentral:rRNA from 1 species
CUGUAUGGCCUAAGAACCCUAAAAGUGCCAAAUCCCAUCUGAUGCUGGAAGCUAAGUAGGGUCAGUCCUAGUUAGUAAUUGAAUGGGAGAUUGCCAAUGUAUACCAGGUGCUGUAGGAU